rnacentral:rRNA from 1 species
CGGGGUGAGUAAUGCUUGGGAAUCUGGCUUAUGGAGGGGGAUAACUACGGGAAGCUGUAGCUAAUACCGCGUAGUAUCGGAAGAUGAAAGUGCGGGACCGUAAGGCCGCAUGCCAUAGGAUGAGCCCAAGUGGGAUUAGGUAGUUGGUGGGGUAAAGGCCUACCAAGCCUGCGAUCUCUAGCUGGUCUGAGAGGAUGGCCAGCCACACUGGAACUGAGACACGGUCCAG